GGCCGCGGUAAUACGAAGGGGGCUAGCGUUGUGCGGAAUUACUGGGCGUAAAGCGCACGUAGGCGGCUACUCAAGUCGGGGGUGAAAGCCCGGGGCUCAACCCCGGAACUGCCCUCGAAACUAGGUAGCUAGAAUCUUGGAGAGGUCAGUGGAAUUCCGAGUGUAGAGGUGAAAUUCGUAGAUAUUCGGAAGAACACCAGUGGCGAAGGCGACUGACUGGACAAGUAUUGACGCUGAGGUGCGAAAGCGUGGGGAGCAAACA
rnacentral:rRNA from 1 species